GAUGAACGCUGGCGGCGUGCCUAAUACAUGCAAGUCGAGCGAACGGACGAGAAGCUUGCUUCUCUGAUGUUAGCGGCGGAGGGGUGAGUAACACGUGGAUAACCUACCUAUAAGACUGGGAUAACUUCGGGAAACCGGAGCUAAUAACGGAUAAUAUUUUGAACCGCAUGGUUCAAAAGUGAAAGACGGUCUUGCUGUCACUUAUAGAUGGAUCCGCGCUGCAUUAGCUAGUUGGUAAGGUAACGGCUUACCAAGGCAACGAUGCAUAGCCGACCUGAGAGGGUGAUCGGCCACACUGGAACUGAGACACGGUCCAGACUCCUACGGGAGGCAGCAGUAGGGAAUCUUGCGCAAUGGGCGAAAGCCUGACGGAGCAACGCCGCGUGAGUGAUGAAGGUCUUCGGAUCGUAAAACUCUGUUAUUAGGGAAGAACAUAUGUGUAAGUAACUGUGCACAUCUUGACGGUACCUAAUCAGAAAGCCACGGCUAACUACGUG
rnacentral:rRNA from 1 species